rnacentral:antisense_RNA from 1 species
UGUGGGAGCGAGCUUGCUCGCGAUGGCGGUGUAUCAGCUAAAUCCAAUUCAGCUGGUCCACCGCCAUCGCGAGCAAGCUCGCUCCCUCA